CGACGAGCGGAGAGCACAGAGCCAACUGCCCAGGGGAAAAGUGAAAUGUAAAGUGAUUAAGGAUCGCUAAAAACAUACUUACCUGGUCGAUGAGCCACCAGAAGCACAUCUUAGUGAGCAAGAAUUGACUUUUGGUCAGGUUUUUUCCGUUUUGUACGUUUUGCAUUGGAUUGAAACACCUGUAAGAGUGUGGGAGACACCUCUACAGUGGAGACAAGAUGGCGAGCCAGAGCCAUGGACUACAGUUCUAGAACCUUCGUCGUGAUUACAAGUGGACCCGUUUCCUAUUGGUGAACAUUGCUGCAAGUGCGGUAGGAACAUUGACUCUUUUAUUUUCCUCAUCUUAACCAAGCUUUGGAUUUCCUCAUCUGGAUUCCACUUCAACAUUUGAUUGGAAGUCAAAUGCACUUCUGAACUGAGUAGAAAAAGCCUGAAAAGUUUAUCACGCUGUGUAUCCUUCAAGAUCUUUGCAAUUUUGUGGUGAAAGUGUGAUUUGUUUUGAAAUCGAUUUUGGGUUGAAUCAUACUUGUAAUUGGUUCUUUCCUAAACAAAAAUACUAAUAUUAUUAGAAAUUACUUACCUGUUAACCUAACCAGGGAAAAGUACUCAUAGACUGGUCUGAUUGAGAAAAUAACUCAAGUUAAAAUAGAGACAUUGGAAAAAUAUUCUCUUUUAUUUACUUUUCAAUUUCCUGGAUCACUUUAUGCUGUUUAUAUUGGAUGUUUUUUUCCAGAAAUUUGUUGUUAGUAAAUUGCCGGCUCAAACUUCAACCUAUGGUAUAUUUACACAUUCUCAUUCCACUCCUUCUGAACCUAGAUCUGGUGCUGUAGUAUUGUUAGUAUAUCGGUGUAAGUGCUACACGUUGUAGAAGCGUUGUCUGAUAUUAUUUUGCAGUCCGAGUCUGGUCACAGACCUGUCAUCGUGUAUAAACCGCACCCCGAUUUUUUGCUUCUUACCGGUGGAAAAAAGGUGCGGUUUAUACACCGUGAUUUACGGUAUUUUAUCAAUUUGUUGUUUUGGACACCAAUGUCAGUGUGAUAAAUAUCCCAUCCUAGUCACUCUGCCGUUGUGCAGUGUUGCCUUGACAACUUAUUUUUGCUAUAAUUAGCAAGUAUUCAGGCCCCUCUCUUGACUCUUUAAAAAAAACAAAAACAAAAAAAAACAACAACAAGCCACAGAUAUAGCAACUUUUUCUGGUGUUUUUUGAGGCAUUCUUACCCUUCCCAGCGUGCUGCCGUGGGCUCAUCUCCAGGCUCAAAGUACACACAGGUGAAGCCACUGCUGAGUGAUCCCCUGGAUAUGUCUCGCAAGUGCUCGCAAACAUAUGAUGGUCUGUUUAGGUUUAUGUUCUAUAUGUUUUAAUAUUUGUGUAGAUGUCUUUCAUAUGCUUAACUCAUUAUUUCAAUAGCCUUUGUUGUCUGUGCAUGUAAGAGGUAGCUUUAGCAUCUCACUUUAGACUACGCCUCCCCUCACAUCUUGUACAGCAACAUCACUCUCUGUAGAAGUUAGAUAUUUCUUUCUCAAAGCUGUCUGUGCAGGUUGAAUUGAUUUGCCUUCUUGCAUGCAUGUGUUAUUGAAUUGUACCUCUCAUUAUUUUCAAAGAAGUUGUCUUGUCUCUUAUCUGUUUUGAAGCCAGAAGCAACAUUUCCCUUGACAGAAACAAUAUUAUCAGACAUCCAUAUUAAUAAUUUAUGUGCAUGAUUGACGAUUGGCUUUCUUCUUCAGGACGUUGGGUCAUCACUGAUAUCUAAUUCAAAGUAAAUGGGGUUGAUGUGGUGUAAUUAUUGGCAGCCAAUUGAGACACUUGUUAUAAACAUUGAACUCUUUCAUCGGUGGUUUGGCUACAUACAUUGAACAGUGUGGGAGAACACCAAUAAUGUAAUUUUGAUAAAAAAAUAUAUUAAGUGGAGAAAGAGGAAUUUCAUGACAACAUUUGUUCAAAAAAUAUCAGGCAUCUGCAAAGCUGUUCUACAUUCCGACUGAAUAUCAAAUGAGAGGUUGGUUUUUGGACUCUCACACUAUUUUUCACAUGGGUGUAAGUAAGUUACAUACAUGGGUGUAAGUAAAAACAUACUUGAUGCUGAAGUAAGCUGCAUGGAUAGAUUCUCACUCUGGUGCUCCGGGGCAGACUCCCAUUAGCCUGAUAUGCUGAGGUUUCACUGGCACAUUUUCCAGGUCAGAGUGUCCACAUGAAAGAAAAAUAGUGUUGCCAAAAUGAGGGCAAAAUUGUCUUGGCCUUUUUUUUUUAAAUGGCCUUUUUUUUUUUAAGUGACACCAUUUAGGAUAGAUGUAAUGCCUCAUGGAUGUCACAUCCAGCAUAAUGAUUUGUGCACGUAAAUGGAAAUAAUGUGCAAUAAUGUUGAUGAAUAUUAGUGUUGUAAUAUUUAGCUUUGCCAUACUGGUCUGAGUCUGUCCAUGUCUAGUAAACCUGAAACAGUUCUUUUGUAAGGUGAAGAAACACGCUUCUAGAGCCAACCUGAUGAAAGAGAUGAGACAUGUUUCUCUACUAAGAAAUUUUGUUUGCUACGUUGUAGGAGGAAAAUAGCAGCGUUUUUUGUAAGUACAUAUGCUGUGCUGUGGUAUUGCUAAUGAUCUCUUGGUGUUUAUUUCUAGGGGUUGUCCCAUUGAAUCCUAUUAACAAUAACUAAAACAUACACAUAGUCAAGGUCCAAUUAAAAUGAUGAACAUACUUUGUGUUGUAAGCAUACGGACACAACAUGGUACCUUCAGGUGUGGUGUUUUUGACGGUGGUUCCUCCUAACAGGUACUGAGGAAGACAUCAAAGAAGUUUGUCUUGGUCUGCAUCGCAGCAACUCUUAUUUUGGUCAGUUUCUUCUUUUCUGUCUGGCAUUUCUUAUGCUUGUCUCUGUUUGCAGAUAACAUAAUCUGAUGAUUGGGGUGGAGCAAGGAAGCAGGUGGACGCAAUCUGCAAUUAACAUGAUUGAUAAGCCUUGCCUCCACACCAGGAAGAUGCCUGAUUAUUCCUCAUGAUGUCUACAUACUGAUCUGAGCUGUAUUCCGUACCACCACCACCACCACCACCACCACCACCACCACCACCACUACUACUCCAUGUUCCCCAGUUUGCUUGCUGUACUCAGACCCUCAGAAGAGAAGGAUGCAGCAGAUAUCAGUCAAUUCCGGCCAAUCUGCCUUCUCAACGAUGAAGGGAAAAUAUUUUUCAGCGUGAUAACACAGAGACUGUUCAUCUACCUGGAGAGGAACAAGUACAUUGAUACUUCUAUACAGAAGGCCGGCAUCCCAGGGUUCUCUGGUUGCCUGGAGCAUACCAGUAUGAUCUGGCACCAGAUCCAAACGGCCAAGAAGGACAAAAGAGACCUCCAUGUAAUGUAACCUCCCUCGACUUGGCUAAUGCCUUUGGAUUAGUUCCCCACAGCCUUGUCUGGGAAUCCUUCAACUUCUUCCACAUUCCAUUAUCCAUCACUACUCCAGUGAGCACCGUGUUGGUGACCCGAUUUAGACCACACAUACACGCACAAUAAAGACGUUAAUGUGAUUUUCGGAGUGUCCGUGAAUGCAUCUCGCAGUCUGUCUUGUGACAACGAGGAAGUGUCGAUGCAAUGACAAAUGGACUUGAUGUAUAUUUAGUUUGUUUAGUGUUGGAAAUACAUAUAUGGUGUUUGAAUUGCACUGCUGUUGAUGGUUUUCAGGUCAGAAUAAACUUAUAAAGGAGGGACAGACUCUGUGGGAGCUACACUGUGCCGCUGUCUGUCGUCAUAACAGAGAGCAGUGGUUUGCCAUGAUGCGUAUGCGUUAAAUGUGCUAAGAAAAAUAAUGUACUUAAUGAAAUAAAUUUGUUACCCCUGUUAACGCACUAUUUUUGGCAGUGGGGGGCACACACCUGGGACGCCAGGUGUUGUCAAUGAGCUCUCUGUUGUUGUCAUGGGUCUAUCAGUUGACCUAAAAUUUACAUCCUUCCCAUGGCUUAGAUCAAGUUCCCACGCCACUCAACAUCCACGCCUCAUGUGAUUACCAUCUAUUGGCACAAAGGAUAUUUUCCAUCAGGUCCUGUGUAUUUACGAAGUAGACUUUAUCCACAGCUCUGUCUAUUGUUUUUUGUGGUUUUGUGCAUCUCUCAAAUAAGCUGUCUUGUACAUUUUCCCGACUCUUUUUCUUUUCUUCUUUUCUUCUAACCGAAACGUAAUCUAACUGAAUCCAUCUUCCCAUAAGAAGUAAUGUAAAUCCAAUGAAUCAGUUUCUGAAAGCCAAAAAUGUUAACACAAAGCACAGUUUUAUGGUUUUACAAUCAUAGUUUUCCAUGCACAAAACAGUUAUAAAAUCAUAUAAAUGAUC